CAGGAAGUGUAAUGUGUGGCUGCAUCUGAGAGACAGUCAGAUCAACUCAAGGCUAAACCAAGCGGUUCGUAGCGUCUCAUUCGCCGGCUCUGUACAGAGAGGCGGGACUUCCUGGAUGGGCGAUGACGUGAAGGCCCCUCUGAGAGGCCUAGGGCUGUCCUCUCUGUGCCUGCUGGAAAAAAGAGCUCUGGUCAGUGCAGUCAGUGUGGCAGUGGAGGCCAUUUUGGCUCAGUUCAGCUCCUCACGGACCCUGGUGCAGAAGG